CAUGAGGUCACACACACUCCGCCCUUCGCGCUGUGUAUCCAGAACCGUUUAAUGCGGCCGAUCUCAGCAAUGGGUACGUCGGAAGCGCUUGCCUUGAACAAAGGAGCGUUUGAAACGGACACGGGCUCAAGGACAAGGCAAGAAAAGGCGCUAUCGGCAAGCCACACUGAACACUAUCUCCAACAUAGCUCCAUAGAAGUAGCCCAGAGAUGUUGUCCAGGGUAAGAGGCAGUCUGCAUCAACAGAGACCUCUGAAGCUCUUCCCCUAAAAACAGAGUUUAUUUGGAACAGAGCGUGGAAAAACUCAAGACUAUAGGCACUCUUUAAAACAAUGCAGAUUUUGGUGGUAAACAAGCUUUGGCUUGAGUCUUCCCAUCAGCAUGGAAUGCCUGCUCUGAACUUGAUUUCUGGUCCAGUUGUGAAAGAAUGUACUUGAAGAUUUAAGUUGAUACGGACACCCGCUACCCUGCAAGUCUGGUGAAUUUCUUCCUCCAGCUUUAGUGAGAUACGAACGUCCGUUGACAGAUGAAUGCAUGAAGAAAAUGUGGUGUAGACGAAGCACUAUUAUUCAGCCAUAUGGAAACAGGAGUUCCUGGGUUUUUGACAGCAUGGAUGGACCUCGAGGGCUUUAUGCUAAAUGAAACCAGUCAGACAGAGAAAGACAAAUCCUAUACAAUUUCACAUAAGUGGAAUCUAAAAAUAUCAACUCACAGAAACACAGAGUGAAAUGGCGGUGCGGGGGCUGGGAGGGUGGAAGAAAGGGGCUGGUCAAAGGGCACAAACUCUUAGUCACAAGACCAACACGUUCUGGGGAUCUCCCGUGGAGCGUGCUGAGUAUAGCCAACAAGGCUGUAUUAUACCCUUGAAAGUCCCUAUCAGAGAAGAGCCUGAAUGUUUUCACUAUAACAACAAAAUGGUAAUUACGUGACGUGAAGGAUUUGUUCACUACCCUUAUGAUGAUAAACAUUUUGCAAUAUAUAUGUGAAUUGAAUGAGCACAUGUACACCGUAAAUUACACCCAGUGUCAAUUUUAUCACAAAGCUGGGGAAAAAAGCAAAUUGAAGAAGUAAACGUUGGCAUCGUCACCAUGCGCCGUCUUCCCACUCAGGAGCAGCAUUUACUCAAUAAAGCCUUUUCUAAGCUAC